UGUUCCCUGGGAUAUCGGAGCUUGGUUAAGUCCCUGAGCCGAUAAAUUUUAUACCAGGAUUUCUGUUCGUCUACUAUUGUGCAAGCUUGGCAUGUACCGAGAAGCCUACGGUAAACCGCAGAUUUCCGCCCUGAGACCUUCUGGUUUCAGGACUGAAACCGGGUACCAUAUCUUGGGGAACAC
rnacentral:other from 2 species